rnacentral:tRNA from 1 species
GAUACUGUAGCUCAGACGGAUAGAGCGAGUGCCUCCUAAGCACUAGGCCGCCGGUUCGACUCCGGCCAGUAUCG